AUUGAACGCUGGCGGCAGGCUUAACACAUGCAAGUCGAGCGGAGAGAUGUAGCUUGCUACUGAUCUUAGCGGCGGACGGGUGAGUAAUGCUUAGGAAUCUGCCUAUUAGUGGGGGACAACAUUCCGAAAGGAAUGCUAAUACCGCAUACGCCCUACGGGGGAAAGCAGGGGAUCAUUAGACCUUGCGCUAAUAGAUGAGCCUAAGUCGGAUUAGCUAGUUGGUGGGGUAAAGGCCUACCAAGGCGACGAUCUGUAGCGGGUCUGAGAGGAUGAUCCGCCACACUGGGACGGGAACACGGCCCAGACUCCUACGGGAGGCAGCAGUGGGGAAUAUUGGACAAUGGGGGGAACCCUGAUCCAGCCAUGCCGCGUGUGUGAAGAAGGCCUUUUGGUUGUAAAGCACUUUAAGCGAGGAGGAGGCUACUCUGGUUAAUACCCAGGGAUAGUGGACGUUACUCGCAGAAUAAGCACCGGCUAACUCUGUGCCAGCAGCCGCCGUAAAAC
rnacentral:rRNA from 1 species